AGAAUCAACGCUGGCGGCGUGCCUAACACAUGCAAGUCGAACGAGAAAGUGGAGCAAUCCAUGAGUAAAGUGGCGCACGGGUGAGUAACACGUGACUAACCUACCUUUUAGUGGGGGAUAACCUAGGGAAACCUGGGCUAAUACCGCAUAAUACCUACGGGUCAAAGCAGCAAUGCGCUGGAAGAGGGGGUCGCGGCCGAUUAGCUAGUUGGCGGGGUAAUGGCCCACCAAGGCAGUGAUCGGUAUCCGGCCUGAGAGGGCGCACGGACACACUGGAACUGAAACACGGUCCAGACUCCUACGGGAGGCAGCAGUGGGAAUUUGCGCAAUGGGGGGAAACCCUGACGCAGCAACGCCGCGUGGAGGAUGAAGACCCUUGGGUCGUAAACUCCUUUCGAUCGGGACGAUAAUGACGGUACCGGAAGAAGAAGCCCCGGCUAACUUCGUGCCAGCAGCCGC
rnacentral:rRNA from 1 species